AUACGAAGGGCCCGAGCGUUAAUCGGAAUCAUUGGGCUUAAAGGGUGCGUAGGCGGACCCGCAAGUGUCUUGUGAAAUCCCACGGCUCAACCGUGGAACUGCUGGGCAUACUGCGGGCCUUGAGGUCGGCAGAGGUCGCCGGAACUCUAGGUGUAGCGGUGAAAUGCGUAGAUAUCUAGAGGAACGCCAAAGGCGAAGGCAGGUGGCUGGGCCGAUUCUGACGCUGAGGCACGAAAGCAUGGGUAGCGAACGGGAUUAGAUACCCCAGUAGUCC
rnacentral:rRNA from 1 species